rnacentral:lncRNA from 1 species
GCAAAGUCUGAUGUAACAAUGGGGAGACCCAAGGCGAGGGUGGAUAAAAAGCGAUGCGAGGUAGGCAAGACCCUUAUUGCUCAUUUGAUAAUUGCUUAUAACUGGGUUGUAAAUUGAGCAAUUACAUACUCACCACACCAAUUAAACACUUUUGCCCAGGGAACUUUACACUGCUCUGCCAACAUGUAAUUAGCAUCUCAUUUAUGUGGAAAACUCCUAUAAUUAGUCCUGUUACACUUCUAAAGAACCUGGGGUCCAGUCUAAAUAAAGUGACUGUAGGUUCUUUCUGGAUUUCCAGAGAGUCUUACCUAAAAUGAUCAGCCUUGCCUAGUUUUAUGUCUGU